rnacentral:lncRNA from 1 species
UGCAACUCGCGGGACUCCUGGAAGGUAGCCUUGCGCUACAGAUUCAAGAAUCAGCGAAGAGUUCUCCCUAGGGAUGGUUGUGUGGGUGAGAACCACACGAAGUUUGGGUCACGCAGGAAGGGCAGUGAAGAAACAGCCACAGUGGAGCUCCAGUGGCACAAAGUGCAAAAGAUCGAUGUUGCUAUCUCUACAAUAGCCGGAGAAGACGAAACAAGUUUUGCAAUGCACACGGACUGGCUCAGUUGUGAAUAUCACAAAUGCUCCCCUAACGAGGAUCAAAUCAAUGAAAGGAUGGCCUUGAUAAAUAAUAUUCAUGAGGCGAAGAGGAAGUACCCAUACAUGAUGAGCUUUGAGAGGUGACUUUGCAAGACUGACUAAGAUUGACCCAUCACCUUGUAUUGCAAAAGGGAUCAACAAAAUUGUGAAAAUGGCAGAAAUGAAACACAUCCCUUGCGAAGCAAGUGUAAUGGCAUCACUUCAAAAGGCUCGUGAGAUGUCACCGGAGAGGCUGCGAACACGACGACCCGAGCGUUCCUGCAACCUCUUGCAUCGUAUUUUCUGGAGAAGACGUUGAAGAGGCU